rnacentral:pre_miRNA from 1 species
AUCACCGAGGAUCUUGUUAAAAUGCAGAUUCUGAUUCAGUAGGCCCGGGUGGGGCCUGACAUUCUGCAUUUCUAACAAGGUCCCAGGUAAUGCCAA